AGACAUGAAACGAUGUGAGCUACGAGUGAGUGACAUGAUCUGACUUGAGGAGGACUGCUCUGGUUGCUGUAUGGGGACAGACUGCAAAGUGACAAGGGUGGAAGCUGGGAGACCAGAUAGGAGCCCUGAUAUCAGUUCAAAGGAGAGAUGGCCAUGACUUGGAUAAGGAGGCAGCGUGUGAGCCGGUGAAAAUUGAUUGGAUUCUAUAUCUGUUCUGAAGAUAGUAAACAAGAUUUAUUGGUGGAUUGGUUGUGAGUGUCUCAUAGUUGGGGGAGGACCCUGUGGCUUGCGCACUGCCAUUGAACUUGCCUACCUGGGAGCCAAAGUGGUCGUGGUGGAGAAGAGGGACUCCUUCUCCCGGAACAACGUGCUACACCUCUGGCCUUUCACCAUCCAUGACCUUCGUGGCCUGGGAGCCAAGAAGUUCUAUGGGAAGUUCUGUGCUGGCUCCAUCGACCAUAUCAGUAUUCGCCAACUACAGCUCAUCCUAUUCAAGGUGGCCCUGAUGCUGGGAGUUGAAAUCCAUGUGAAUGUGGAGUUCGUGAAGGUUCUAGAGCCUCCUGAAGAUCAAGAAAAUCAAAGUACAGU
rnacentral:lncRNA from 10 species